GGAAGUAAAAGUCGUAACAAGGUAUCCGUUGGUGAACCAGCGGAGGGAUCAUUACCGAGUUUACAACUCCCAAACCCAAUGUGAACGUUACCAAACUGUUGCCUCGGCGGGAUCUCUGCCCCGGGUGCGUCGCAGCCCCGGACCAAGGCGCCCGCCGGAGGACCAACCAAAACUCUUUUUGUAUACCCCCUCGCGGGUUUUUUAUAAUCUGAGCCUUCUCGGCGCCUCUCGUAGGCGUUUCGAAAAUGAAUCAAAACUUUCAACAACGGAUCUCUUGGUUCUGGCAUCGAUGAAGAACGCAGCGAAAUGCGAUAAGUAAUGUGAAUUGCAGAAUUCAGUGAAUCAUCGAAUCUUUGAACGCACAUUGCGCCCGCCAGUAUUCUGGCGGGCAUGCCUGUCCGAGCGUCAUUUCAACCCUCGAACCCCUCCGGGGGGUCGGCGUUGGGGAUCGGCCCUCCCUUAGCGGGUGGCCGUCUCCGAAAUACAGUGGCGGUCUCGCCGCAGCCUCUCCUGCGCAGUAGUUUGCACACUCGCAUCGGGAGCGCGGCGCGUCCACAGCCGUUAAACACCCAACUUCUGAAAUGUUGACCUCGGAUCAGGUAGGAAUACCCGCUGAACUUAAGCAUAUCAAUAAGCGGAGGA
rnacentral:rRNA from 1 species